GAUUCGGCGAGGGACAGGGCUGGCAGUCUCUGGAUGUCCGUAACUCUGCGUACUCUUUUCUCUUCUGGGUGUCUGCAGCCUACUUGGGAUAGGGAUGUGGGUCUCAGGGAGGAGCAAGAGGGAUCCCAGGGUGUCCCUGAAGAGAACCUUGAUUGUGUUCCAGCCACUUAGACCGUGUGACUCACACAGCCUGUAUAUUCCAGCUCCAGGCGAUCCAGUGCUUCCAGCCUUUGUGGGGGCCACACUCGUGGUGUGUACACACACGCAAAUACACAAAUACUCAAACAAGUCUUUAAAAGCUACUAUGAAAGACUCAUGUCGAUAAGUUUAGUUAUAACCAGAUCUUUUCAUGGAGAAGUUGUGGGUUGCAAUGUACCCAUGUUAAAACAAGUUCUUUAUUACUGCCUUCUCUUUGAGAGCUCAGCUCCCGCUCUGGUAUCAGGAUUUGUCCAGACCAGAUAAACCAUAUAAUACAUGUGGUAUUAAUCAGAACACUAAAGGCAUAGAAUUGGCCGAGUUCCAGUUCUCGUGCCUUCUCACUCAAUGAGGAUUUAGUCCACGUGCUCAUGACGUUUUUUGUUUUGUUUUUUUGCAAGCCUGACUCUAAGGGUUGUUUUGCAAUCUUGGCUUUAAAAGACACAGGGAUUUUAAUGACAUCCCAAGAAAAGAAUGUAAAGUUUCCAUUUCAUACUGUCUGUUGAAAUGAGUAAUUACAGCUUGUGGUUACUAUUUAAAAUGCUGUUUCAUCUCACUGUUUCUUUUAUUUCAUCAGAUGUAACAACUAGAGAAAGGUGUUAUUGUAUUCUUAAUUGGACCACUCUGCUCA